rnacentral:rRNA from 1 species
UGGGGAAUUUUGCGCAAUGGGGGAAACCCUGACGCAGCAACGCCGCGUGGGUGAUGAAGGCCUUCGGGUCGUAAAGCCCUGUCGGGAGGGAAGAAAUGAUUGAGAGCUAAUACCUCUUGGUCUUGACGGUACCUCCGAAGGAAGCACCGGCUAACUCCGUGCCAGCAGCCGCGGUAAUACGGAGGGUGCAAGCGUUGUUCGGAAUUAUUGGGCGUAAAGCGCGUGUAGGCGGUCUUUUAAGUCUGAUGUGAAAGCCCCGGGCUCAACCUGGGAAGUGCAUUGGAAACUGGGAGACUUGAGUACGGGAGAGGAGAGUGGAAUUCCUAGUGUAGGAGUGAAAUCCGUAGAUAUUAGGAGGAACACCGGUGGCGAAGGCGGCUCUCUGGACCGAUACUGACGCUGAGACGCGAAAGCGUGGGUAGCAAACA